AAUAGAUACCCGGGGUAGUCCACGCCGUAAACGAUGAGUGCUAAGUGUUAGAGGGUUUCCGCCCUUUAGUGCUGCAGCUAACGCAUUAAGCACUCCGCCUGGGGGAGUACGGCCGCAAGGCUGAAACUCAAAGGAAUUGACGGGGGCCCGCACAAGCGGUGGAGCAUGUGGUUUAAUUCGAAGCAACGCGAAGAACCUUACCAGGUCUUGACAUCCUCUGACAACCCUAGAGAUAGGGCUUUCCCCUUCGGGGGACAGAGUGACAGGUGGUGCAUGGUUGUCGUCAGCUCGUGUCGUGAGAUGUUGGGUUAAGUCCCGCAACGAGCGCAACCCUUGAUCUUAGUUGCCAGCAUUCAGUUGGGCACUCUAAGGUGACUGCCGGUGACAAACCGGAGGAAGGUGGGGAUGACGUCAAAUCAUCAUGCCCCUUAUGACCUGGGCUACACACGUGCUACAAUGGAUGGUACAAAGGGCUGCAAACCUGCGAAGGUAAGCGAAUCCCAUAACGCCAUUCUCAGUUCGGAUUGCAGG
rnacentral:rRNA from 1 species